rnacentral:rRNA from 1 species
AACGAACGCUGGCGGCAUGCCUAACACAUGCAAGUCGAACGAAACCUUCGGAUCUAGUGGCGCACGGGUUCGUCACGCGUGGGAACCUGCCCUUAGGUUCGGACUAACUCCCCGACAGGGGUGCUAAUGCCGGAUAAUGUCUUCGGACCAAAGAUUUAUCGCCUUUGGAUGGGCCCGCGUUGGAUUAGCUAGUUGGUAGGGUAAAAGCAUACCAAGGCGACGAUCCAUAGCUGGUCUGAGAGGAUGAUCAGCGACACUGGGACUGAGAAACGGCCCAGACUCUUACGGGAGGGAGCAGUGGGGAAUAGUGGAAAAUGGGCGAAAGCCUGAUCCAGCAAUGACGGGUGAGCGAUGAAGGUCGUAGGGUUGUAAAGCGCUUUUAACCGGGAUGAUAAUGACAGUACCGGGAGAAUAAGCCCCGGCUAACUACGUG